UUGCAGGAUCAACCAGGUAGCAUUCCUCACGGACAUCGGGCCACAUGACGUACAAUGUCGUUGCGGCACCGAACGUCGUUCGAAUGUGGCGUGUGACGCCAGUUUGUGGGUAAACGGGGUCGAGGACCCCAUGCCCGCAACGUUUUCCACAUCCCAGAGGCCGAGCAAGGGCUCGUGGGCCGCAACGACAACGCGGUGCGCGAGCGUCGCAGAACACGGGCCUCGCUUCGUGGUUCGCCCGUAGCCGCGCCGUGCGAAAGGGCAGCGCUAGACGAACGUGGGAAGGAUUGGCCAACGAAAUUCCGUCUACGUAGGUAUGCAACACAGGAAACCAACGACAACGGCCGAGGCAUAUUGUUCUCGUGCCAACGACUGAAGAGGAACGAACGGGAGGACGUCGCUGCCCGAGCAGGGAUCCAACCAACCCAUACAAGA
rnacentral:misc_RNA from 1 species